AAAUUGAAGAGUUUGAUCAUGGCUCAGAUUGAACGCUGGCGGCAGGCCUAACACAUGCAAGUCGAACGGUAACAGGAAGCAGCUUGCUGCUUUGUUGACGAGUGGCGGACGGGUGAGUAAUGUCUGGGAAACUGCCUGAUGGAGGGGGAUAACUACUGGAAACGGUGGCUAAUACCGCAUAACGUCGCAAGACCAAAGAGGGGGACCUUCGGGCCUCUUGCCAUCAGAUGUGCCCAGAUGGGAUUAGCUUGUUGGUGAGGUAACGGCUCACCAAGGCGACGAUCCCUAGCUGGUCUGAGAGGAUGACCAGCCACACUGGAACUGAGACACGGUCCAGACUCCUACGGGAGGCAGCAGUGGGGAAUAUUGCACAAUGGGCGCAAGCCUGAUGCAGCCAUGCCGCGUGUAUGAAGAAGGCCUUCGGGUUGUAAAGUACUUUCAGCGGGGAGGAAGGUGUUGUGGUUAAUAACCGCAGCAAUUGACGUUACCCGCAGAAGAAGCACCGGCUAACUCCGUGCCAGCAGCCGCGGUAAUACGGAGGGUGCAAGCGUUAAUCGGAAUUACUGGGCGUAAAGCGCACGCAGGCGGUCUGUCAAGUCGGAUGUGAAAUCCCCGGGCUCAACCUGGGAACUGCAUUCGAAACUGGCAGGCUUGAGUCUUGUAGAGGGGGGUAGAAUUCCAGGUGUAGCGGUGAAAUGCGUAGAGAUCUGGAGGAAUACCGGUGGCGAAGGCGGCCCCCUGGACAAAGACUGACGCUCAGGUGCGAAAGCGUGGGGAGCAAACAGGAUUAGAUACCCUGGUAGUCCACGCCGUAAACGAUGUCUACUUGGAGGUUGUGCCCUUGAGGCGUGGCUUCCGGAGCUAACGCGUUAAGUAGACCGCCUGGGGAGUACGGCCGCAAGGUUAAAACUCAAAUGAAUUGACGGGGGCCCGCACAAGCGGUGGAGCAUGUGGUUUAAUUCGAUGCAACGCGAAGAACCUUACCUGGUCUUGACAUCCACGGAAGUUUUCAGAGAUGAGAAUGUGCCUUCGGGAACCGUGAGACAGGUGCUGCAUGGCUGUCGUCAGCUCGUGUUGUGAAAUGUUGGGUUAAGUCCCGCAACGAGCGCAACCCUUAUCCUUUGUUGC
rnacentral:rRNA from 1 species